rnacentral:rRNA from 1 species
AUUGAACGCUGGCGGCAUGCCUUACACAUGCAAGUCGAACGGCAGCACGGGUGCUUGCACCUGGUGGCGAGUGGCGAACGGGUGAGUAAUACAUCGGAACGUACCUUAUCGUGGGGGAUAACGCAGCGAAAGUUGCGCUAAUACCGCAUACGCCCUGAGGGGGAAAGCGGGGGACCGUACGGCCUCGCGCGAUUAGAGCGGCCGAUGUCUGAUUAGCUUGUUGGUGAGGUAAAAGCCCACCAAGGCGAUGAUCAGUAGCUGUUCUGAGAGGACGAUCCGCCACACUGGGACUGAGACACGGCCCAGACUCCUACGGGAGGCAGCAGUGGGGAAUUUUGGACAAUGGGGGCAACCCUGAUCCAGCAAUGCCGCGUGAGUGAAGAAGGCCUUCGGGUUGUAAAGCUCUUUUGUCAGGGAAGAAACAGCAGCUCUAACACAGUCUGCGAAUGACGGUACCUGAAGAAUAAGCCACGGCUAACUACGUGCCAGCCGCCGCAGUAA